rnacentral:lncRNA from 1 species
UCAUUAUAGAAUUGAAUAUACAUAAUAUCUGAACGUAAUUCACUGUUAAUUAGUAAAUGAAUAUUAAACAAGACAUGAUGGAUUGUGACACUAGGGACGUCCGCUAGAAGGUGCUUUAGGAGGUGUUGGAGGUUGCCUUGGUUUGUCAAGGUCCUUGCCUUCUUGUGGUGAAAGUUGACGACCCCUGAACCUCAAAAUCCUAUCUGAUUGCCGUUUAUGGAAAUGGAUGGUACUUUCCUUACAGCCCGUACAGGUGUCAACUGCUGCAUUUCCUUCCUUAAUCUCUGUACACAUUGAAUAUAAGUGACUGGUUAACUCAAAACAAAUUGAAUGAACACCGUUACAUACAAGAAGGUAUUAAUUUUGAGUACUCAAAAAAGUAUAAUGAGAUUGUACAAAUUUUUUGACAACUUCUCUGGAAUGGUUGCUUGUGGAGUCAUUUGAGGCAUUACUUGUCUCCAUGGUUAUGGACAUGCAUCAAAGUUCCAUAUGUGACGCGUAACAUCGCAGUCGCGUAUUGAUUAUAAGUAAACGAGGUUCAAAUAUAAAGAAAUGAAAUGCUAACCAUCAUUUGCGUUAAGAGCAAGGUAAGACAAUUAAUCUCACCUUUUAUUCGCAGUGGUUCGUGUGGUUCAGAUGAAGAGUAAGCCAACCCAAGCUCAAGCAAUAGGAUGACAAGUAAUGCAGUGGCUGCUAUUGCAAGGAGCUUCGCCAUUGAUAAUGAAGAAGCUGGAGUUAUGCAUGGGAUGUCUUGCUAUGGCAUCUUUUAUAAGGGAUGCUCUCUCUCUCUCUCUCUCUCUCUCUCUCUCUCUCUCUCUCUCUCUCUCAUGGAUAUAUUAGGUAUUUAUUACAAGGAAAGAGAGAAAAAGGAUACCAAGGGCGGGUCAAGUAAUAGCUGCGGAGAAAAGUCAAGGAAAUUUUUUUUGUUUUUUUUUUGGGCCUUAGUUGGUCUCCUCUUUCACACACUAGAAAAGAAACACGCCCUUGACUUGAAAAAUAGCCACCGUUUCUCCCUUGGUCCAAUAAUGGCGAAAAAUUAACCCAACUUGAGCCAAGUAAGAUUAUCUAAUAGUAACUGGCGCAGAUCCCCUCAAAAAGAGAGUAUGUAAAGUGUAAAUCCAGCUGCCACCUUCAUCAAUCAUUCCUCCAUCACAUCUCUGGUUAACUUCUUCAGCACCAUUCAUCUUUCUCAUUGCCAUUCAU